rnacentral:snoRNA from 1 species
CUAUGUGGUGUGGACAAUCAUGUUCAUACUCCUUAAAAUGCUCCCAGGCUUCAUAAAAAGACUCGACUGGACCUUGCUGGAAACUUUGGAUCUUGUUUCUCAACAG